CUAAUACAUGCAAGUCGAACGCAAUCUUUUAACAAUGAGUGCUUGCACUCAGCGUUUUAAGUGCGAGUGGCGAACGGGUGAGUAACACGUGGGCAAUCUGCCCAAAAGUGGGGGAUAACACUUGGAAACAGGUGCUAAUACCGCAUCAACCGGCUGACCGCAUGGUCGGCCGGGCAAAGACGGCGUCAGCUGUCGCUUUUGGAUGAGCCCGCGGCGUAUUAACUAGUUGGUAAGGUAACGGCUUACCAAGGUGAUGAUACGUAGCCGAACUGAGAGGUUGAUCGGCCACAUUGGGACUGAGACACGGCCCAAACUCCUACGGGAGGCAGCAGUAGGGAAUCUUCCACAAUGGACGCAAGUCUGAUGGAGCAACGCCGCGUGUAUGAAGAAGGUCUUCGGAUCGUAAAAUACUGUUGUCAGAGAAGAACACGUGAUAGAGUAACUGCUAUGGCGCUGACGGUAUCUGACCAGCAAGUCACGGCUAACUACGUGCCAGCAGCCGCGGUAAUACGUAGGUGGCAAGCGUUGUCCGGAUUUAUUGGGCGUAAAGGGAACGCAGGCGGUCUUUUAAGUCUGAUGUGAAAGCCUUCGGCUUAACCGGAGAAGUGCAUUGGAAACUGGAAGACUUGAGUGCAGAAGAGGAGAGUGGAACUCCAUGUGUAGCGGUGAAAUGCGUAGAUAUAUGGAAGAACACCAGUGGCGAAAGCGGCUCUCUGGUCUGUAACUGACGCUGAAGUUCGA
rnacentral:rRNA from 1 species